rnacentral:tRNA from 1 species
GCACCCAUAGCGCAACUGGAUAGAGUGUCUGACUACGAAUCAGAAGGUUGUAGGUUCGACUCCUACUGGGUGCAUUUGAAC